GACGAACGCUGGCGGCGUGCUUAACACAUGCAAGUCGAACGGAGAGGGCCUGUAUUUGUAGGGUGCUCGAGUGGCGAAAGGGGGAGUAUAACGCGAGUGAACUGCCCUUGUCUUUGGGAUACCUUCAGGAGACUCGAGCUAUUAUCGGACAGGAGCACCUGAUACACGGUGGGGGUUGGAAAGAUUCGCGGGUUCGGGACGGACGGGCGGUUUAUCAGCUUGUUGGCUGGGUAGUGGCUUACCACGGCUUUGACGGGUAGCCGGCCUGAGAGGGUGACCGGCCACAUUGGGACUGAGAUACGGCCCGGACGCAUACGGGAGGCAGCAGUGGAGAAUAGUGCACAAUGGGCGGAAGCCUGAUGCAGCAGCGCCGCGUGCGAGAUGACGGCCUUCGGGUUGUAAACCGCUUUCGCCUAUGACGAAGCGUGAGUGACGGUAAUGGGUAAAGAAGCACCGGCUAACUACGUG
rnacentral:rRNA from 1 species